rnacentral:tRNA from 1 species
UCUGGUGGCUCAGAUGGUAAAGCAUCUGCUUACAAUGCAGGAGACCUGGGUUCGAUCCCUGGAUCUGGAA